AAAUCUAUUUACAGUUGCUCCUAUAUCUGUUCCAAUUUUUAUACUACAACUACUGCAAUUCCAUAACUUGAUUUCAUUCUAAGUGCUUCCCAAAUAUUCAAUACUCCAUUUAUGAAAAUUUACAAGAAACUAGAUGCCAAUACGUUUAACAGUAGUUGUGCACAUUUCUCUCUUACAAGCUGCGAAACUAGGACACAGAGGUCGCUGCAUGUUAUAUAGGACUACGAAACAGAAGUAGGCCUACAUAUUGAUUGUACAUUUCGUUUUCUUACGUGUAUAGGACAGACAAAAAAUAAUACAAGCAAAUUCUUAAUAAUGAUAAAAUGGAGAUGUUUUCUGCAAAGUAGGCAUAUUAGGCCUAUUAACAUAAUUGUCCUAUUUUUGCAACUCUCUUCUGUUCUAAUAUACAGCAGAGUAGUAGUAGUAGUAUAGUAGCUGACACAGAGAUUUUCUAUAACAGUUGAAAGCGUGACACUCAGACAACUUGAACCAACUACAAACAACAAUGAUUCGUGGAGCUUGGUUGCACAUGACAAACAAAGAAGUUGCGAAUGCAACUAAUGAUGAAACUUCACUAACCGAACAUGCAAUAUGCCAAUCGACUCGUUCGCUCGAAGGAAAAACUGUUAUUGUUACUGGAGGUAAUUCGGGUAUUGGUAAAGAAUGUUGUAGGGAUUUCAUCAGGAGGGGAGCAAGAGUUAUUCUAGCCUGUAGAAGUUUGACCAGGGGUAAUGAUGCUAAAUUGGAUAUUGAACAGGAUACAGGAAUCUUUGGAAAUCUUAUAGUGAUGAUAGUCGAUCUGUCGAGUUUAAAGAGUGUUAGACAAUUUGCCAAAGAGUUUAAAGAAAAGGAAAAAAGAUUGGAUAUACUUUUGAACAAUGCUGGUUUAGUUCGAACGACUAAUAGAUUCUCAGAGGAUGGUUUUGAAGCAACAAUGGCUACUAAUCAUACUGGACAUUUUCUGUUAACCUAUCUUUUAAUAGAUAUGCUUAAGAGUUGCGCUCCUAGUAGGGUGGUGAACGUCACCUCCAUAGGACACUAUUCGUGUGACGAUAUGAUGUUUGAAAAUUUUCACAAUAGAGGGUGCUGCGGAUCAAGUCAAUUUAAACUAUAUUCCAGAAGUAAGGCAGCAAAUAUCCUCUUCGCCCAAGAAUUAACUAGAAGAUUCUCCAAGGAUGGUGUGACUGCCUAUUCUGCUCAUCCUGGAUUUGUCCUAACAAACUUCAACACUCACUUUUCGGCAUGUUCCGACUGUUUUUAUGUAUUAGCUGUAAAAUGCUGUAUGAGAAGGGAUCAGGCCUAUGUAAAAUCAGCAGAACAAGGAGCACAAACACCUAUACAUUGUUGUGUAACUGAGGAAAUUGAACACGAAGCCGGAUCCUACUAUCACGAAUGUAAAGUACGGCAACCAUCAAAAUUAUGUAGAGAUGAGAAGAAUGCUUUACGUCUUUGGGAUAUCAGUAGUGAACUCGUUGGAGCCACCUGGUGAUGGAACAAAGAAACACUCGCCAUAUAUACUCUUUUGGUGUUUUUCUAAUAAAGCUGUAAAAAUAAUCUAUAAA
rnacentral:misc_RNA from 1 species